GCUAACAAAUUAUAUUUCGACUUAUUCUUCACGAAGAGAGGUGAGCUAAAUAUAUAUACUUUUGGAGUGUGUUACGUUGCAUAGUAAUGAAUAAAUGUAUAUUUAGUGGUGAUAGGCCUUCCAUCCCUCUGGAUAACUUGUUGCGUAAAAAAAAUAUUAAGUAUUGGGGCAGACUAAUAAAGCUAAGCUUGUUAGUUAAUAUUAAUAUUAAAGAAUCUAUGUAGGUAUAGCGUAAUAGCUAGCUUAUACAAUAGUAAAUAUUAAGUUUAUGGUGUUAUAUAUGUUAUUAUGCUACCAUGUUUUAACUUUUUGGGAGAUAAUGUUAUUAUAAGUAAGUAAAGCAAACCUUCCUAAGGAACUCGGCAACAAAAUACCCAACUGUUUACCAAAAACAUAACUGCAUGAAAUAUUAUGCAGCUUUUUCUGCUCCAUGAGACGUUAAAUAGCCGCAGUACCCUGACUGUGCAAAGGUAGCAUAAUCAAUUGGCUUCUAAUUAAAGUCUGGCAUGAACGAAUGCAUGGGUAGUGACUGUCUUGGGAGUGUUGUUAUGAAAUUAUUUAGUCGGUGCAAAUGCUGACGAGAGUAAGAAAGACGAGAAGACCCUAGAAACUUAAAGUUACUUUUGCUGGGGCGGCAGAAUUGCACAUAACCAAUUUUAUUUUACGUGAAGCAACGCAGGAAGAAAAAGUUACUCUAGGGAUAACAGCAUAAUUUAAAUAGUUUGUGACCUCGAUGUUGGACUAGGGAAAUUACGCCUUAGAAGGGAGUAAUAAUGGCUCUGUUCGAGCCGUAAACCCCUACAUGAUCUGAGUUCAGACCGG
rnacentral:rRNA from 1 species